rnacentral:rRNA from 1 species
UGCGUAGGUGGUCUUGUAAGUCAGAAGUGAAAGGCUACGGCUUAACCGUAGUAAGCUUUUGAAACUGCAGGACUUGAGUGCAGGAGAGGAAAGUGGAAUUCCUAGUGUAGCGGUGAAAUGCGUAGAUAUUAGGAGGAACACCAGUGGCGAAGGCGACUUUCUGGACUGUUACUGACACUGAGGCACGAAAGCGCGGGGAGCGAACA